UACGGAGGGGACUAGCGUUGUUCGGAAUUAUUGGGCGUAAAGCGCACGUAGGCGGUUUUGUAAGUCAGGGGUGAAAUCCCGGGGCUCAACCUCGGAACUGCCUUUGAUACUGCAAAUCUCGAGUCCGGAAGAGGUGAGUGGAAUUCCUAGUGUAGAGGUGAAAUUCGUAGAUAUUAGGAAGAACACCAGUGGCGAAGGCGGCUCACUGGUCCGGUACUGACGCUGAGGUGCGAAAGCGUGGGGAGCAAACAGG
rnacentral:rRNA from 1 species